rnacentral:misc_RNA from 1 species
UUGAGCAGCGACGCCCGUCCGUGCACGCCCCAUCAGUCGUCGGUCCGAGUGCGACUUCGCCUCGGCCCCGAGCGGGUUUCCUGUGUUGCGUACCUACUGAAACGGAAUUCGGAUGUCCCAACGUUUGUGCGUCCGCCUAGCGUUGUCCCUUCGGGGUGCGGCGUAGGGUGGACCUCGAAGCGGCGCCCGCGUUCCGGGUCGCUCACGUUACGUGAUGCUGUCCCGGCCCGCGGACCGUCGCUCGGGCUCUCGGAUGCGGAAUGCUCGGAGGGUACGGGGUCGUCCGUCGGCUCCUGUUUGCCCGGAAUAAAUUUCGUUACCGAACGACUGCCGUCGUUCCGUCGAGGCGUCGGAUCCCCCGGAUCCGCCGUCCUCUCGGGGCGCCGGCGUCCGUGAGGAAUGCUA